UACGUAGGGUGCAAGCGUUGUCCGGAAUUAUUGGGCGUAAAGAGCUCGUAGGCGGUUUGUCGCGUCGGCUGUGAAAACCUGGGGCUCAACCCCGGGCCUGCAGUCGAUACGGGCAGACUAGAGUGCGGUAGGGGAGACUGGAAUUCCUGGUGUAGCGGUGAAAUGCGCAGAUAUCAGGAGGAACACCGGUGGCGAAGGCGGGUCUCUGGGCCGUAACUGACGCUGAGGAGCGAAAGCGUGGGGAGCAAACAGG
rnacentral:rRNA from 1 species